AGGAAAAUAGAAAUUUCUUAACAUAAAGCUCCUAAAAUUGAUGAAUUAAAUUUGGGGUCCUUUAUACUAAUUGUCAAAUAGCAUACUUUAAUCAAAUACUCAUUGAGCACUGUAAAAUUAAAGCAUGCAACUUCAAAGACUCUAAUUUAAAGUUGUUUGAAAAGCUUAAUUUCUUAUUACUUAACAGACAUCCCGCUUAAGCAGACCUCAUCCAUUGCAGUGGCUGGAGCUGUGAUUGGGGCUGUCCUGGCCCUGUUCAUCAUCGCUGUCUUUGUGACUGUGCUGCUGACACCACGGAAGAAGAGACCAUCCUAUCUUGACAAAGUAAUCGACCUUCCACCUACACACAAGCCACCCCCUGUGUAUGAAGAACGAGCUCCUUCUUUGCCUCAGAAAGAUCUUCUGUGCCAGACUGAACACUUGCCUUUGCAGACUCAGUUCAAAGAGAAAGUUGCUGAUGGUCUUCAACCCUCUAAUGGACUAAAUAGCAGGAGAUUUGACUAUGAAGAUGAAAACACAGUGCAAGAAGAUGGGACUCAGCAGAUGUACCCCCUUUAUAACCAGAUGUGCUACCAAGACCGAAGCCCUCACAAACAUCACCCAAGCAACCCCAAGAGACUCUAUAUCAACCCACGAGAACAUUAUGUGUGAUUUUCCUUUUCUUGUUAUAACGGGUGUUCUAACAAAUGUUUAUUCUUGGACUUGAGAGAGAAACUGAGGCAUCUAAACGAUUUCAGUCUAAGUGUGUUGGAACUCUCGAUGACUUGGAGCUAAUAGUGGAUGUCUUAACUUCAUUAAGACAUGGUUUCUUAACCACCAUCUGUGUUUGCAAACUCGCCUGUAGCUUUGCUUUGCUGUAACUCUGGUGUUUAACUACUAACACUUGGCCUACAGUGGCAUGUUCGUGUGGAAGUACGGCGUCUGCCUGUGAUGACGGCAGGGAAAGGCCCACCUUUUGGCAGCCACUCUGCUUGGGGCUUAGGCAGUGCGUGUCUGUAAUUUAAACAGGUGGGGAACGAGCUCCACAUCCAGUUGACUGAUUAUUAAGCUGGGAUUUAGGUUUCCCUAGCAUCUCAGUCCAAUUACAAUACCUGUGCACAGAGGCUGGUGGAAAGAAGUGAACUCUGCUGAAUGCAGACAAUAACAGAGGCAGGGGAACCUUCCAGUCUUGUUGGCUGUGAGCCAGUGUUAGUGCCAUGUGCCCUUUCUGGCCAUUAGGCCCCAAGGGCUCCACAGGGCCAUCUGCCCUCUAUCCCCUGGUGACUAGCUGUGUCUAGAGUCUACUUUGUCCUUGUUGCUGCAGCCUUGUUUUCCACUGGCCAGAUUAACCCAUUUCCCACCUAUUGUGUCCUAAAAUCCCUGCCGAAAUAAGAUGCAGUCUUUUUAGCCUUAUCUCUCUUGUAAAUGACAAGCUCUGAUUUCACUUCUUACAUUGCUUUCAAACUAGUCUCACCGCACACACACAGGCUUUAGCUAGCUAAUCUUCUCCAUUCUUUCCAAUUCUUCCCUGUCCUAUCUACCUCAAGGGUGGGGGCAGGGGGAGCUUGCUGAAGAUCACCACAAAAUAACUCCUGCUCUUAAAAGCCAGGUGGAAAAUUUGAAAACUUAACUUUUUGCAAAGCUACUUGAAUAUGACAUGUUUGCUAAAUCUGCAUGUCCUCUGUUCCUCCUCCCCACAUCACCUGGUCAACAAGCCUAAGGGGAUACUACAAGGGGAAUAAUACAGCAGCCUCUGCCAGUAUAAACAGCUACACAGUAAGGCUGCAACGCCUGCUCAUAUCUGCCUGGAGCACUCUUGUCUCCCUCUGCCAGCUCUCUGUCACUGAGACUGACGGUGGUAGGCACAGAGGGAAACAUACAGGCAAAAAGGAUCAUUGUUACAUCUUCAGAAUAACAUCACUUUACUGUAUAUCCUGGAAGAUCCGAGUGUGUCACCAGCAUUAAAAAAUAAAACACUAUGUACUGGUUACAUAUUUUUAAAAGAGUGGUAUAAACAGCAAAAUAAAUAGUAUAUACUCAUUUCCAGCCUAAGCUACAAGAGGAAAUGAGAAUAUUAACAGAUUUAUAGUGAAAUGCCAAAGAUACUUUAUUCAUGCCAUGCUGGCCAUAGUUCUCAUUUGCUUCUUUUUGUUGUUUGUCAGGCUUUGUGAGAUAACUCAUAGAGGUGGUUCUGCAGAAAUACACCCACCCACCUUACUCCCUGGGUGAUAGGCAGUUCUAGGAGCAAGCAUGCUCCAAUUCCAUCCUCCUUUUUCCUUAGGGUGAGCAUGUUUAGCAGUUAGCAUUUUUAGACACAACGGCUUCAGAACACCUAGAGUUCCACUGGUCCUCUCUGCUCCAUCACUGAGUACUUUGGAUUUAGUUUCCUGCCUCCGUAGCAAAGACAGUGGUCAGCCUCAUUGCUCAAAAUGCUAUUACCAAGUCAGUAUAACCGAAGUUACAGGAUUCCUUGUGAUUGUUCUCCUGCAGUUAGAUGGUGAUACACUGAGAGCUUCCUGACACUGAAGCUCUUCAUAAGGCCUAGAUACCAGGGGCCAGACUGCAGCACUCCCUCUCCUUCAGAAGGCUUUAAAAUAUCUCAAUACUGAGGACAGUCUCCCGAGUCCUGCUGGGAAGCAGGCCGUAGACUUCACAAAAGCACACUAUGGCCUCAGGGAGAGAGGAGGAAUGUCUUCGUUUGUGCCAGAGAAAAGGAUUGGGACACCUUUUGUCCUUUCCUUAGCACCCUCCCAGGAGGAACCCACUGUCUACUUUUCAAUGUUCUUUAGUAUUGCUAUGAAAAAGUUAUUUUAGGGCGUGGGUACUCUCUGCUGUCAGCUAGUUCACUCUAUCUGUGUCUUUCAGCUAUGAAAUUUCUUGGACAAACUACUAUAUUUGAUAGGUGUUGGCCUCAGACAUGGGUCACAUAAACUUCAUAAUAGCUUAUUCUAGUGCCUCCUGUCUGUUCUCUAUUAAAAAAAAGUUAGCUAAAUACAGAACAGCUUUAAAAGGGUUUAAUUAACCAUCCCCUCAACCAAAAAAAAAAAAAAAAAAAGAAAAGAAAAAAGAAAAAAAAAAAACAGCCAUCUAAAACUAGUCUGCUGCUCUCUGAAUUUGGGGCCUGGUCCACUUGAUGAUGGACACUAGACUAUAAAGGUCAGAAAGUGAGGUUGAGAGACACAGUCACAGCUGAUCCAUUACGGUUUUGUUAGUGUUCACUGGGCCAGAAGUAAAUCCCGUAGCAGGUUUCCUAUACUGCUGCCACUCAGCAGUGUGGGGCGGGGGAGGGGAGGUGCAUGUUCACCCUCACUGCAGCCUCCAUUGCCUGUUUCACCUGCCAGCAUUGCAGACCACCAGGACUCUUUGCAUCUCACUACACUGAGGCUAGGAUCAGCCUGACUUAAUAAGAGUGCAACCAGCAGAGAGUCAUUGUGUUCUUCUAUGAGAAUUCCCUCUAUGCCUGACAUUUCGUAGAUGCUCCGUGCUUUGGAGUAUAUGAAACUCUUACCUGUGUUAGGCAUCGGUAUAAUACACACACACACACACACACACACACACACACACACACACACACGUCUAAAGAAAUACCCAUUAAGUGGCCAGAGGCUCUUGUUAUUGUUAUUUUUCUGUGUCCUGUUCACUCAGAAACAGGACCAAGUCUUUCAUCUCAAGUUGUCUUUCAUUGAAGUCUAAAUUUCAAUUUUUUUUUUUUUUUGGUAUUGCUUGUUUUUCCUUGCAUUCCCUUGACUCCUGGUGUUAUUCUUACUGUACAAUAGGCCCACCUUGGGAUCAGAGGAGACUCUAUUGUUAGAAGAAUCAACACAUCAGGUCUAUACCUAGUGUUACCCCUAACUAUGGAAAUUUAGGAAAAUAAUCUGUCUAGGAUAUUAGUUGUCUCCACCCGUGAAGCAGAGACCUUGCUGUCAACCUUUCAGAACUGUGGUAAGAAUUAAACUAGGGUAUGAUGAAUGAGAAAUUGUUAGUUCUCGCCAAACUAACAAGUACCUAUGACUCCACUGUUACCUAUUGAUUUCAACUUCCAGUGCCUUUGCCAGUAUUUAGAGAACUAGAAUGUUCCGGGGAGAGCCAUUCAGCAGUGAGGACAUUUCGGUAUUGGUCCAGAUUUAAUAUAACCAAUUGCAAUUUAUCCCCCCAAAAAGUUUCAUAUCUGGGCUAUUGAGGUGCCUCCUCGGGUGAAGGCACUUGCCAUGCAAACCUGGGCCCCUGAGUUCAGUCCCUUGAGAUAACACUGAACUAUAAGGAGAUAUAAGGGCCACAACAUGGCCCUCUUACCACCGCCUGCACACAUGCAGUAAGAAUAAUAAAUCAUUUAAAAAGGUUCAUCUCUGUUGAGCUUUAGGUAGGAUUGAAGAUGUGCAUUGUUAGAAUUCACGGUUCCUCCUGUUUUACGAAUUACUACUGAGUGUGUGGGAAGGAGUGGCUUCUAGGGCCAUCACCUUACAUAAAUCAUCUCACCAGAUUGGCUUGUACCCCUGCUUUGUCCUCUCUCAAGAGCUCCCACGGGAACUGGCAGGUCAUACUCCCAUACCACACAGCUGUGGAUCAUGUAUUUCAUCAGUCAUCUGCUUUGCUUGUUGGGGAUAUAGUUGUCAUGGUUUUCUUUUUAAAACAGGAGCACAAAAGCCUACACAUAAAACUGUAAGAAAUGUUGAAGUAGAAAGCACAUGUGCUCACUUUGACCUCUGAAUAUUCAAAAAGUGCUCUUCUGUCCAUGAGUUUAGCCUGCAUUAGGUUAAGCUACAAAGGCCAGUCAACCAAAUCAGAUAAAACAGCCUAGACCACUUCGUUUGGUUUUAUAAGGCACAAACUUUUAACAUUCUUUCCUGGACUUAAUUUGACAUGCUUCUUACUGCUUGACUCCAUUCAAUAAAGAUUAAGUUCCCAGGGUGGCAACAGUCAUAUUUCAGGCAUCUGGAAGGAAGUCAGAGAAGGGUAGAAAGGGUGAAACUCGGAAUUCCAGUGUCACCACCUGUGCCUCUCAGCUUUGUGUGUUUUUUGUGGUGCUUGAAUGGCAAGGCCCUCCCUUCAUCCUUGGGUCAUUUGAAGACUCUGAAAGAACCCAGGACUUUUAUCUAUAUUAACCCAAAAGCUAAUGUUUGCAAACCUAGUCAACUAUAAACUGUUACUACAGUACUCUUGUUACAGAUGAUGAAAUAUAUGGAUUUUUUUCCAUUCAAGAAUAUUAUAUGCUGGACUUUGUCAGCUGUUACGGCUGUUUUGGUAGCAUUUGGUAGACAGAUGUGUAAGUCUAUAUGCCUCAUGGCAACCUCCCCAGUAUUUUAGUCCAAGUACUACAUCUUCUAUGUUAAGCCAGAAGGCUCCAGAACAGUCCUCCAGACUCAUAUCAAGUAGAGAGAACCCCUAUGCUACCCUUCCCAGCAACCCCAACAGCAUCCCAUGCCUAUCUGAAAGAGUUCUCAGAGUCGAGUCCAGCAAUACCCUUCCUGAUUUAGUCAGCCAUACUGUGUUCUCUUUGGUUUCUACAGAGAGAACAGGCCAAGUAUCUUCAAUCCAUUGGGCUUGUUCAUGGGAGGACUGGCUUUACAUGAAUUGAACCAAUCCACUCACCAUCAGCACCACCAGCCGGACCACAGAAAAUAUUCACUUGCUGGGUUAACAAAGUCUCUAGGGUUGAGCUGCAAAUAAAGUGUGCAGUAACGGCCUCUGAAGUGACCAGAGCCUUUGCAGAUGCUGAUGGCUGCUGGAAGAUGUGGGCUCUUGAUUAGGAUGAUUUAGAUAUUAACCAGCCAUCCCUAGAGGCAUAUUAAAACUGAUCAGCAUGUUAGAGAAUAAUUUUUAAAGUGAAAUCCAGAACUUAGUAAAUAUUUCUCAGGUUUUCCCAGCCUCUUACUCUAGGGUGUGGUGGGCUAGUCACUGCUCUGAAAUCAAGAACCUGCUGAAGAGUUUUACUGACAUUUAUCCAUAGUAACAGCUGUUAUCUUGGGAUGCACUGUCAGCAUUGUGCAGAUUUAUCAAAAAGAGCCCAGGAUCUGGAUUGACAACCAACUGACAGGCUUCUGGCCUCUUGUGCUAAAGUUCCACAGUGGAUUUAUCACUCAGGAGCAAAUGCUACACAGGAGGUCACUUGGUCUUAAAGUUACUAUCAAGUUCUAAUUACUAUCCUAAACGAUCUUCCAUAAACAAAGGGAGCUUUCAGAGAUAGUUCAGUCUCCUGCCACUCUAAAGGUGGGAGGCCACACAGUUGCCCUUUUAUGGGUUUCCCUGGACUAUUUCUAGGAUCAGAGCUUAUGGGUACAACACAAUGGCUGGUUUUGUGACCUACACUGGAUUGAUUUUAUCUCUGUGGCAUGGAAUUUAACUGUGAAAGGUGAUUAGAGGAAACCCUAAGGGGAGUCCUCCCUGGGAAUCCAUUCCACUGGAUUUGCUGCAGUGACUUAGAACUGAACCCUGUCCCACCGCAGAUGUGUCUGACAACCAUGGAGAGACGAGUUAGCUGCCUUUCUUCAGAGGUUAAUUUUCCUUAAUGACACACAGAAGAUCCAGGAAGGCCAAAGUUACACACAUUUUUCCAAGUGAGUGUACGCCAUUAUUUUGGUCUUCAGUACCCUUUCCAAAAACAGUCAGGAUUUUAAAUCCACUCUGAUGUUUCAAUCAAGCUAAGUUAAAUUCCUCUCAGAAAUCCUAUGAGUAGUCGGGUAGUCAUUGUAUUUUAACUAGAGGUAGCAGAAGUUUGUUCUGUGUGCACCAGUUUCCUCCAGCUCACGAGUGACUCAGUUGUACUCUGUGCCUCACAUAAUCCCAUGAAACACAACUGCAAAGAUUCCCUUAAACCCAGCACUUCAGUCCCUGGAGGAGGAGUGUCCAUUAUCUUUGGCUUCAUUGUGUACCAGAGACCCCAAAUCCUCUGUAAAACUAUGUUAAGUAGCUGGUAUUGCCACUAAAGCCCCGGAUUAUUCCUUUUGUCUAUGUGUAAAAGUUCCUGUUGUUCCUCUACCUUCUGUUUCUGUCUCCAAGCCAGUGCUGCACACCAUGCCAUCUCCAGCCCGUCAGCUCUCCAUGCGGUCCUCACCUCUCAACAUCUCCGUGGCUCAGCUUUGUCCCUUCAACUCGUGCUCUCUACCUAACAAGGUUGUACUGGUGGUAGGGGGGAAUAAGAUGUCUAGGGGCUAUCUUUUAAGAGAGAUCGCUCCUUCAAAGUGCUUUUACAAAAGCCCCUGGGCUUAGAAAUGAGAAACUCCCUAGCUAUUAUAUUUUUCUAUUCUUGUUUUGCUAUUUUUACUUCUGAAAAGUGAACUCUGUCUGAAAAGAGGCUUUAUCCUGGUUUUAACUCUUUCUCUAUUAGUCCUCUCACACUGGAAGCUCCACCUUGUAUUCUGAACUUCUUACUCUGACCCAAAACUAAGUCUUUGCAGUAGAAACCCCAACUCUUGUACUUCUAUUUCUUCUUCUGCAGAAGAAACUAGCUUUUCCCAUGGGAAACUAGUAAGGCCUCACUCUGCCUCCAUGCAGGUCUCACAGCAAGCCUUGCUUCUUGAUUCAUGAGCAGAGGCAAACUAGUUUCUCGGUAUCUAGAUGUUGAUUCCUGGCUCAUAAUCGGUAGAAGCAUUUAGCUCAUGGCUUGUACUUCAUUAAUGGAUGAUGGGUAAUCUAGAUAGCCUUCAAACAGGAGAGAGUCUAGCUCGAUUUGGAAUCCCUUUGCCCCCACUAUUUGCAAAAGAAGUAUACUUUGCUGUAAAAGUAGAAAUUUGUUGCUUGUUUUUUGAAUUAUUUCCAUUUUGUAGAGAGUUUGAUGCUAUGUGUUCUUGCUUGUGAGAAAAGACCCAAGUUAUAAAUUUAAGCAUUAGAACUGAAACAGGUAAUAGUAUAGUGGGUGAAGAAAAUCUAGCUCAGAUAUUGUGAAACACAAAGAACAGCUUCAACUUUGAUAUUAUCUUUUAAGUAGUAAAUGUUAAUGUGGUUUUUAGACAGUCCUUAAGUUUCCAGAAAUUUUCUUUUAUUUUUGCAUUUUGGACUGUAUGGAUCUUUAGAUAUUUUGAAUAAAGUCUUUUAUUAUCUAAA